CCUACGGGAGGCUGCAGUGAGGAAUAUUGGUCAAUGGCCGCGAGGCUGAACCAGCACAGUCGCGUGAGGUAAGAAGGCCCUACGGGUUGUAAACCUCUUUUGUCGGGGAGCAAAUCGACCCACGUGUGGUUCAUUGAGAGGACCCGCAGAAAAAGCAUCGGCUAACUCCAUGCCAGCAGCCGCGGUAAUACGGAGGAUGAGAACGUUAUCCGGAUUUAUUGGGUUAAAGGGGUGCGCAGGCGGAGGUGCAAGUCAGCGGUCAAAUUGCGGGGCUCAACCCCGUACUGCCGUUGAAACUGCAUCCCUUGAGUGCGCGAGAAGUAUGCGGAAUGCGUGGUGUAGCGGUGAAAUGCAUAGAUAGCACGCAGAACUCCGAUUGCGAAGGCAGCAUACCGGCGCGCAACUGACGCUCAUGCACGAAAGCGUGGGUAUCGAACAGGAUUAGAUACCCUAGUAGUC
rnacentral:rRNA from 1 species